AUGCGAAAUUUGGGGAAGCGCGCGAAGCGGGGCGGACCGCGGUGUUCGGACGGGACAGGGCAUAGACGCCUCGAUCCCCGCGCCGCUUUUUUCGCCAUGUAUCGCGUCCGCGUAACUGUUCAGGAUAUGAUUAGAUCGACCGGGCCCACCUGUCAUCCACUCGGAAGGGAUCUUAUAAAUGCGCCCGGCGAGGGUUUUUUGAACAGUGCCUCAGCAUUCUCCCUCUGUUCCCUUCGUCUCCGCCCAACGCGCUCGCUCCCGCCUCCGCACAACCUCCCCUCGCGCGUCCCGCCGGCAGCCAUGGUCAAGGAGAAGACGGCGGCGUUGGAACGCGCGAAGAAGGCGUCGGCGAUGGAGAAGGCGAAGGGGAGAUCCACUAGUCGUGGCGGGUCUUCGUCUAGAUCUCGCCUGCCGAAAGGCUGGGUCCAGGGAGAUUGGAUCCAGUCGACCAUCACGGAGAAGGAUCUCCUCGACAUGGCCAACGAGGGCCUGAUUCCCCAUGGAGCUGCGAGGCUUCCGGGGAAAGAGUGGCAGCCCCAGCCGGAAGAGGGUGAGUGCGUGCUUCUGGCUACCCAUGUCGACCGCGGAUUUUUUUUGCCGCCGAGCAUUUUCUUCCGUGGUUUCUUGAACUUUUUUGGAGCGCAACUCCACCACUUCACCCCUAAUUCUAUCGCCUAUCUUGCCGCGUUUGUGUCCAUGUGUGAGAGUUUCCUGGGUUGUCGACCGCAUUGGGGUUUGUUCAAGCACAUAUUCACGUGUCGCUCUCAGACCGUGAAGAAGGCGAGCCCAGGCGACGAAAAAACCCGAGUUGUCCAAAUGUGUGGGGGUCUGGGGAUCCAGAUGAGGAACAAGAGCACCUUCCCAGCCAUGACAUUUCCCGAGUCAGUCAGAGGCUGGCAGUCGACCUGGUUCUACUGCCAGGAUCAGUCGACGUCGGGGCAGUCGAGUGGACUCCCUCAGUUCACCAUGGGCCGAGUGAACAAGCCCUCCUCUCUGAAGGUGAUUCCGAAGGAGAAAGCUGACGUGAAGAUGCUGAUGGAGCGUGUAGUUCAGUUGGUUCGGGAGGGAGUGACGGGUAUGGAUCUCCUGGAGGUUUUUCUUAGGCGUCGUAUCCAGCCUCUUCAGUUCCGGAGCCAUUGCAUGUGGUUGUACUGCGGGACUGAGGAUGUGACUCGGGUCAAUCCAGAAGCAGUCGACGAUGCCACUCUGGAAAGGUGGAUGGCCGCUGUUACUGGGAACAAGGAUAACCCUCACGGAGCCAGAAGGAUUCCUCCACUCGACUGCCACAGUGAUCCAAACAAGGCCCUCACUGAGCUGUACUCGAUGCCCAAUGGAGCACAGGCUCCGACCGAGGAGGGAGAAGCGAGCGGGGGCGAGAGCCAGGAGGAGGAGUGGGACUCGGACGCCGCUGAGGAUGAUGAUGAUGAUGAUGACGAUGAUGACGAUGAUGAUGAGGACGAGGAAGAGGAGGAGGAGGAGGAGGUCGCACCACCGCGCUCGGAAAGGCGGUCAAAACUUGUCCAUGACCCUGCGACUGAACGUGGCAAGGGGGUUGCGACUGUUACGCAGUCGACCAAGCGCCCUCGGACCACCUCUCCGGCGCCGACUGAAAAGGCGUCGAAGCAGCCCAGGGCGGCCCCGUCAAAGCCGACCAAGCUCCUGCCGAAGAUGAAGGUGUCCAUCCCCACCAUAUCAGGUGUUGCUACUUCUGAGACCUCAGCCCGGGCUGACGACCAUGAGAUGGAGGACGCAACAACCUCAAAACCUGCUCCAUCCAAUGUUGUUAUCACUCUCCCUGAUGAUGAUGAAGAUGAGGAGCCGCUGAAGCACAGAAGGAGUAGGAAAGCGUCUGCCGGCAGGGUGCCCCAGGAUGUGACGGUGCCUGAGACUCUGGUCGCAGAGGAGGAAAACACCACUCGACACACUGUGUCCUUCGCAGAUCCACUGAAGAGUGCUCUGCAGCCCUUCCUCUUCACGACGCACCACGUCCCAGAGGACCAAGCUGAUGCCGCGAAGGAGGCGAUACGCCAGGCAGGGAUCAUGAUGGAGCAGUUGAAGACCAUCCGGGAUGCGAGCCAGGCAGCUUACGAUGCCAGUUCCGCCCUUCAAAGCAAUGUUCAGAGAUCCUGUGACCUUGCGGCUCGCUACACUGAGCUGGAAAACAAGCACAUUCAGCUCGAGCUGGAUUUGAAGCUGGCUCAGGAGAAUCUGACGAAGGCAAAGGAGGAGACCAAAGGUAAGGUGAAGGAGGCCCAACAGAAAAAAGACCUUGAACUAGCUGAGAGGAUCAAGCUUGCUGACGAGAAGUUAGCUUCAGUCACCAAGCUUGAACAAGAAAAUACCAAUCUGAAAGCUGCUCUUGGGAAGAAAAAUGAUCUGGAGGCCUUCCUGAAUGGUCUUGCCAAGAAGCUAUUCCUUAUGCUUGAAGAAUUUUGUCAAGACUUUGAAGAAGAGACUAGCCAGCUGGAACCAAACCUUGACCCCGUCAAUUCUCCGGUGAACGACGAAGUUGCCAUGAAUGUUUUCUGA
rnacentral:rRNA from 1 species